rnacentral:rRNA from 1 species
UACGAAGGGUGCAAACGUUGCUCGGAAUCAUUGGGCGUAAAGCGCACGUAGGCGGCUUCGCAAGUCGGAUGUGAAAUCCCUCGGCUCAACCGAGGACGUGCACCCGAAACUGCGGAGCUUGAGUACUGAAGAGGAUCGCGGAAUUCCCGGUGUAGAGGUGAAAUUCGUAGAUAUCGGGAGGAACACCGGUGGCGAAGGCGGGUCUCUGGGCAGUAACUGACGCUGAGGAGCGAAAGCGUGGGGAGCGAACAGG